rnacentral:rRNA from 1 species
GACGAACGCUGGCGGCGUGCUUAACACAUGCAAGUCGAACGGAAAGGCCCUGCUUUUGUGGGGUGCUCGAGUGGCGAACGGGUGAGUAACACGUGAGUAACCUGCCCUUGACUUUGGGAUAACUUCAGGAAACUGGGGCUAAUACCGGAUAGGAGCUCCUGCUGCAUGGUGGGGGUUGGAAAGUUUCGGCGGUUGAGGAUGGACUCGCGGCUUAUCAGCUAGCUGGUGGAGUAAAAGCUUACCAAGGCUUUGACGGGUAGCCGGCCUGAGAGGGUGACCGGGCAGAGGGGAAGUGAGAAACGGGCCAAAGGCAUACGGGAGGCAGCAGUGGGGAAUAGUGCACAAUGGAGGGAACUCUGAUGCAGCGACGCCGCGGGAACGAAGAAGGCUGUCGAGGGGGAAAGUGCUUGGAUAUGGGAAGAUAAGGAAGGUACCAGAAGAAAAAGCCCCGGCGAACUACGUG